rnacentral:rRNA from 1 species
CCUACGGGUGGCAGCAGUGAGGAAUAUUGGUCAAUGGACGGAAGUCUGAACCAGCCAUGCCGCGUGCAGGAAGACGGCUCUAUGAGUUGUAAACUGCUUUUGUACAAGGGUAAACCUGAAUACGUGUAUUCAGCUGAAAGUACUGUACGAAUAAGGAUCGGCUAACUCCGUGCCAGCAGCCGCGGUAAUACGGAGGAUCCAAGCGUUAUCCGGAUUUAUUGGGUUUAAAGGGUGCGUAGGCGGAUUGAUAAGUUAGAGGUGAAAUUUCGAGGCUCAACCUCUUCGAGCCGUUGAAACUGGUUUUCUUGAGUGAGCGAGAAGUAUGCGGAAGGCGUGGUGUAGCGGUGAAAUGCAUAGAUAUCACGCAGAACUCCGAUUGCGAAGGCAGCAUACCGGCGCUCAACUGACGCUCAUGCACGAAAGUGUGGGUAUCGAACAGGAUUAGAUACCCCAGUAGUC